UACGAAGGGUGCAAGCGUUACUCGGAAUUACUGGGCGUAAAGCGUGCGUAGGUGGUGAGUUAAGUCUGUCGUGAAAGCCCCGGGCUCAACCUGGGAAUGGCGAUGGAUACUGGCUCGCUAGAGUGCGGUAGAGGAGAGUGGAAUUCCCGGUGUAGCAGUGAAAUGCGUAGAGAUCGGGAGGAACACCUGUGGCGAAAGCGGCGCACUGGACCAUAACUGACGCUGAGGCGCGAAAGCUAGGGGAGCAAACAGG
rnacentral:rRNA from 1 species